rnacentral:misc_RNA from 1 species
UCGAAAUUAUUGGUGAGGGUUGUAGCUGGCCUCUCGGGGCAAUGUGCACGCCCGAACCCUUAAUCCACAUACACCUGUGAACCCAAUGUAGGGGCCCGUUAAAAAGGUCCCUAUGUCUUAUACACCCCAUUGUAUGUCUUUGAAUGUAAAUCUUUGUCUUCGCCUUGCGGCGUUGAUAGAAUCUAUA